CACAGCGGCCUUGGGUUUGGGCUCCAGCCCCAGCCGGGCCCCCUCGCGCCGCUGCGGCUGCUGCGCGGUGAGGUCGUGACAAGUCACAGCUAACUUGCCCUCCGCGCCAUUCCACGCCACCAGGAAGCGCAGCCGGUGCCUCUCGGCAUCGGCGAAGAGGCCUUGCCGGACCGGCGCCCAGCCCUCCAGGCUGUCGAGCUGCUCGUCCUCCAUGGCCGUCGGCGGCAGCGGCCCUAGGACUCGGCGGGCGCGGGCCUGACCUCGUCGCACUGCCUGUCAGGGGACAGUCCCAGGCUGGAGUGCAAUGGCAUGAUCUCGGCUCACUGCGACCUCUGCCUCUUGGGUUCAAGCGAUUUUCUUGCCUCAGCCUUCGCAGUAGCUGGGAUUACAGGCAUAACUGAAGGUGAAAGGACAGAAUCACCGUGUGUUACUGGCACAGAUGCAUCGGCUAGUGAAGAAAGAAGACAUUCAAACUAGUCCCGCUCUGUCGCCCAGUCUGGAGUGCAGCAGCGCCAUCAUAGCUCACUGCCACCUAGAAGCCGGGGUGAAGCAAUCCUCCUCCAUCAGCCUUCAGAGUAGCUGGGACUACCUGCGCGGCCCACCACAGCCGGCUAAUCUUUGUGGUUUUUCUUUUGUUUUCCGUUCUGGGUUUCCGUCGGGCGCAGUGGCUCAGGCCUGCAAUCCCAGCACUUUGGAAGGCAGAGGUGGGCGGAUCACCCGAGGUCGGAGACCAGCCUGACCAACAUGAAGAAAUCCCGUCUCUACUAAAAAAAAGAAAAAAACUACAAAAUUAGCCGGAUAUGGUGGCUCAUGCCUGUAAUCCCAGCUACUAGGGAGGCCCAGGCAGGAGAAUCACCUAAAUCCGGGAGGCCGAGGUUGCGGUGGGCAAAGAUCACACCAUUGCACUCCAGCCUGGACAACAAGGGUGAAACUCCGUCUCAAAACAGAGACCGGGUUUCACCAUGUUGCCCAGGCGGUCUGGAACUCCUAGGCUCAAGCGAUCUGCCACACUCGGCCUUCCAAAGUCCUGGGAUCACAAGGGGGAGGCACCACGCCAGGCAGAUCUAUUCCUUUCUGGUUACUAAAUUGGACCGGGGGCGCGGUGGCUCACGCCUGCAAUCCCAGCACCCAGGGAGGCGGAGGCGGGCGUAUCACUCGAGGUCAGGAGCUCGAGAUCAGCCUGACCAACACGGAGAAACCCCGUCUGUACCAAAAAAAUAAAACCAAAAUUAGCUGGCAUGGUGGCUCAUGCCUGCAAUCCCAGACACUCAGGAGGCUGAGGCAGGAGAACCACCUAAACCCGGGAGGUGGAGGCCGCGGUGAGUCGAGACCACGCCACUGCACUCCAGCCUGCAAAACGAGCGAAACUCCACUCAAAAAAAAAAAAAAAAAAGACAGUGUUUCACCACGUUGCCCAGGCCGGUCUGGAAGUCCUAGGCUCAAUCGAUCGCCGCGCUCGGCCGUCCACAGUACUGGGAUCACAAGCAUGAGCUACCACGCCAGGCCGAUCUAUUCCUUUCUGGUUACUAAAUUGGACCGGGGGCACGGUGGCUCACGCCUGCAAUCCCAGCACCCAGGGAGGCGGAGGCGGGUGGAUCACCCGAGGUCAGGAGCUUGAGAUCAGCCCGACCAACACGGAGAAACCCCGUCUGUACAAAAAAAAAACACCAAAAUUAGCUGGCAUGGUGGCUCAUGCCUGCAAUCCCAGCCACUCAGGAGGCUUAGGCAGGAGAACCACCUAACCGGGAGGUGGAGGCCGCGGUGAGUCGAGACCGGAAAACACUCUAGCCUGGAAAACGAGCGAAACUCCACUCAAAAAAAAAAAAAAAAAAAAAAAAAAAAGACCGUGUUUCACCAUGUCGUCCAGGCUGGUCUGGAACUCCUAGAACAUGUAGAUGUUACCUCAUUUGGAAAAAGCAGAUUUUCAGGUAUGAUUAAGUUAAGGAUCUUGAAGAGAGAUUAUCCUGGAUUGUCUCCGUGGGCAUUAAAUCCUGGCACAUAUAUCCUUAUAAGAGGGAGAUAAAGGAGAUUUAACUUCAGACAGAAGAGAAGGAGGCCCUGUGACCAAGAAGGCAGAGCCUGGAGUGGUGGAGCUGCAAGCCAAUGAAUGCCAGCAGCCAUCAGAAGCUGCGCAAGUCAAAGGAUGGAUUUUCCCCUCAGCCUCUGAGAGCACUGGCUCUGCUGAGACCUAGAUUUCAGCCCAGUGAUACUGAUUUUGGACUUCUGAUAUCCAAAACUGUGAGAAAAUAAAUUUCUGUUGUUUUAAGUCACCACAUUUUUGGUAAUUUGCUCUAACAGCCACAGGAAAGUAACAUACAUGCCUACCUGGGUCCAGUUGUGUCCUGUGACUCCUGCUUUCCUGGGACAGGCAGGCUGCUCCGUGCCUCCUGGCCAUCCUACUGGGUGCUGGACGCUGUAGGCUGCUCCAUGCCUGUUGGCCAUUCCCUUUGGUGCUGGACAGCACUCACAUUGUGAAAUCCACUGGCCCUGUGAAAAACACCUGGAAAUGUUACCAGGAGAGGGGUUAGUUCUCUUUUUGGCAACCCAUGUUAUUGCUUAUGGCUUAAUAUCUGUGCCUCCAAGAUCCCUUCUCUCUGCCUUCAUCGAUGCCAGGAAAGCAGUCAGUCACCUUUUGCCUUUCUUUGCUUCUCAGCAAGUGGCAUGUCUCCAUGUCACUUUAAGCAUCAAGCACACGGAGCCCAAUAAGAUGCUGAAAAGUGUCUGCCUACAAGGUUACAAGGCGGUGGAGACAUUCUGAGCCGGUAACUGCAGGGCUCAGUAAAACCGCUACAGGAAAUCUCAAGUUCAAAAUGCUGAAGUGAAAAAUGGGUGAUCACAACGAAGGGAAACACAAACCCCUUCUUUUAAAAACAUUAUGGUGAUAAGGCACAACAUAAAAUUUACCAUAUUAGCCACUUGUAAGUAUACAGUGCAGUAGUGUUAAAAAUAUACAUGUUGAGUAACAAGUUUCUAGAACUUGCUUCUCUUGGAGAACUGAAACUAUAGCCACUAUACAACAACUCCCCAUUUCUCUAUCCCCUGGCUUAUGGAAACAACCGCUCUAUUUUCUGUUUCUAUGAGUUUGACUAAUUUCGAACCUAAUGUAAGAGAAAUUGUACAGCAUUUGUCUUUGUGUGAUGGGCUGAUUUCAAUUAGUGUAAUGUUUUCAAGGUUCAUCUAUAUUGCAGCAUGUGACAGGGCUUCUUUCUUUUUUAAGGCUGAUAAUUUUAUAGUAUUCCGUUGCAUGGAUAGACCACAUUUAUUCAUUUAUUUAUUU
rnacentral:lncRNA from 1 species